rnacentral:rRNA from 1 species
AAUCUUCCGCAGUGGACGAAAGUCUGACGGAGCGACGCCGCGUGAGUGAUGAAGGUCUUCGGAUUGUAAAACUCUGUUGUUAGGGAAGAACGAGUACUGGUCUAAUAAACGGGUACCUUGACGUUACCUACCCGGAAACACCCGUCUACCUACUUCCAAGCAGCCGCGGUAAUACGUAGGGGGCAGGCGUUGUCCGGAAUUAUUGGGCGUAAAGGGCUCGCAGGCGGUCUUCUAAGUCUGAUGUUAAAUCUCGUAGCUUAACUACGAACGGUCAUUGGAAACUGGGAGACUUGAGUACAGAAGAGGAGAGUGGAAUUCCACGUGUAGCGGUGAAAUGCGUAGAGAUGUGGAGGAACACCAGUGGCGAAGGCGACUCUCUGGUCUGUAACUGACGCUGAGGAGCGAAAGCGUGGGUAGCGAAC